GUAUUGCUGAAUUGGUUCCAGAACAUACAUUCGAGAAUUGUUUUUCAUUUGGUUUCUUAAAAAUUUAUCAUGAUUUUCUUAAAUCAUAUAUGUCGUGGAGUAGCUUCAAAUGCAUGCGUCGUGCAUAGUGCUUAUCUACCCUGAACACAUGAUUACAUUCUUUACAGCCAUGGAACUUUGCUCACUUGUUUCCCCAAAGUUCUUCUUCUUCAUUUGUGUUCUCCCCAAUGCUGCAGAGGUGGCGUAGGUUGAGGGAACUUGAUAAGCUCAAGGGACAUGUGGAAUUUGGUUUGUCAACUAGAAGGCGCUCGACAUCGAGAUGGUCUAGCAGUCCGUACACGGUGUGAUGAUCUGGGCUUCCAUGGAAUGCAUCAGCUACAACUACUUGGGUAAUUUAGCUUAUUCUCUAAGCUAGCCUAAUCUCUUCUACAACCUCGGCAGUGGUGGCCACCUCUUCUUGGUUCAGGUGAGCCCUUUAUGUCCUCUAUUUCUCUCUUGCUUUGAGAUGGUGCC